rnacentral:rRNA from 1 species
UAACAGGAAGCAGCUUGCUGCUUCGCUGACGAGUGGCGGACGGGUGAGUAAUGUCUGGGAAACUGCCUGAUGGAGGGGGAUAACUACUGGAAACGGUAGCUAAUACCGCAUAACGUCGCAAGACCAAAGAGGGGGACCUUCGGGCCUCUUGCCAUCGGAUGUGCCCAGAUGGGAUUAGCUAGUAGGUGGGGUAACGGCUCACCUAGGCGACGAUCCCUAGCUGGUCUGAGAGGAUGACCAGCCACACUGGAACUGAGACACGGUCCAGACUCCUACGGGAGGCAGCAGUGGGGAAUAUUGCACAAUGGGCGCAAGCCUGAUGCAGCCAUGCCGCGUGUAUGAAGAAGGCCUUCGGGUUGUAAAGUACUUUCAGCGGGGAGGAAGGGAGUAAAGUUAAUACCUUUGCUCAUUGACGUUACCCGCAGAAGAAGCACCGGCUAACUCCGUGCCAGCAGCCGCGGUAAUACAGAGGGUGCAAGCGUUAAUCGGAAUUACUGGGCGUAAAGCGCACGCAGGCGGUUUGUUAAGUCAGAUGUGAAAUCCCCGGGCUCAACCUGGGAACUGCAUCUGAUACUGGCAAGCUUGAGUCUCGUAGAGGGGGGUAGAAUUCCAGGUGUAGCGGUGAAAUGCGUAGAGAUCUGGAGGAAUACCGGUGGCGAAGGC